AACGAACGCUGGCGGCAGGCUUAACACAUGCAAGUCGAGCGCCCCGCAAGGGGAGCGGCAGACGGGUGAGUAACGCGUGGGGAUCUACCUUUUGCUACGGAAUAACGCAGGGAACCUUGUGCUAAUACCGUAUGUGUCCUUCGGGAGAAAGAUUUAUCGGCAAGAGAUGAGCCCGCGUUGGAUUAGCUAGUUGGUGGGGUAAAGGCCUACCAAGGCGACGAUCCAUAGCUGGUCUGAGAGGAUGAUCAGCCACAUUGGGACUGAGACACGGCCCAAACUCCUACGGGAGGCAGCAGUGGGGAAUAUUGGACAAUGGGCGCAAGCCUGAUCCAGCCAUGCCGCGUGAGUGAUGAAGGCCCUAGGGUUGUAAAGCUCUUUCACCGGAGAAGAUAAUGACGGUAUCCGGAGAAGAAGCCCCGGCUAACUUCGUGCCAGCCGCCGCGGUAA
rnacentral:rRNA from 2 species